AGAGACAGCAGCAGCCGCGGUAAUACGUAGGUGGCAAGCGUUGUCCGGAAUUAUUGGGCGUAAAGCGCGCGCAGGCGGAUCAGUCAGUCUGUCUUAAAAGUUCGGGGCUUAACCCCGUGAGGGGAUGGAAACUGCUGAUCUAGAGUAUCGGAGAGAAAAGUGGAAUUCCUAGUGUAGCGGUGAAAUGCGUAGAUAUUAGGAAGAACACCAGUGGCGAAGGCGACUUUCUGGACGAAAACUGACGCUGAGGCGCGAAAGCCAGGGGAGCGAACGGGAUUAGAGACCCGUGUAGUCCCUGUCUCUUAUACA
rnacentral:rRNA from 1 species